rnacentral:rRNA from 1 species
UACGUAGGUGACCAGCGUUGUCCGGAUUUACUGGGCGUAAAGAGCGCGCAGGCGGUCGUUCAAGUCGAGUGUGAAAGCCCCCGGCUCAACUGGGGAGGGUCAUUCGAUACUGAUCGACUGGAAGGCAGGAGAGGGAAGCGGAAUUCCCGGUGUAGCGGUGAAAUGCGCAGAUAUCGGGAGGAACACCAGUAGCGAAGGCGACUACCUGGCCUGUUUCUUGACGCUGAGGCGCGAAAGCUAGGGGAGCAAACGGG